GACGAACGCUGGCGGCGUGCUUAACACAUGCAAGUCGAGCGAAGCGCCUGUAACGGAGUCUUCGGACAAAGAUACAGAUGACUUAGCGGCGGACGGGUGAGUAACGCGUGGGUAACCUGCCAUAUACAGGGGGAUAACAGUUAGAAAUGACUGCUAAUACCGCAUAAGCGCACAGUUUCGCAUGGAACGGUGUGAAAAACUCCGGUGGUAUAUGAUGGACCCGCGUCUGAUUAGCUAGUUGGUGAGGUAACGGCCCACCAAGGCGACGAUCAGUAGCCGACCUGAGAGGGUGACCGGCCACAUUGGGACUGAGACACGGCCCAA
rnacentral:rRNA from 1 species